AACGAACGCUGGCGGCAUGCCUAACACAUGCAAGUCGAACGAGACCUUCGGGCCUAGUGGCGCACGGGUGCGUAACGCGUGGGAACCUGCCCUUAAGUUCGGAAUAACUCCCCGAAAGGGGUCCUAAUACCGGUUAAUGUCUUAGGACCAAAGAUUUAUCGCCUUUGGCUGGGCCCGCGUUGGUUUAGCCAGUUGGUAGGGUAAAAGCGUACCAAGGCGACGAUCCAUAGCUGGUCUGUGAAGAUGAUCCGCCACACUGGAACUGAGACACGGCCCAGACUCGUACGGGAGGCAGCAGUAGGGAAUAUUGGAGAAUGAGCGAAAGCGUGAUCCAGCAAUGCCGCGGGAGUGAUGAAGGCCUUAGGGUUGUAAAGCUCUUUUACCCGGAAUGAUAAUGACGGUACCGGGAGAAUAAGCGCCGGCUAACUCCGUG
rnacentral:rRNA from 1 species